rnacentral:rRNA from 1 species
AUUGAACGCUGGCGGUAUGCCUUACACAUGCAAGUCGAACGGUAGAGGAGCAAUCCUCGAGAGUGGCGAACGGGUGAGUAAUACAUCGGAACGUGCCCAGUCGUGGGGGAUAACGCAGCGAAAGCUACGCUAAUACCGCAUACGACCUGAGGGUGAAAGCGGGGGACCUGCAAGGGCCUCGCGCGAUUGGAGCGGCCGAUGGCAGAUUAGGUAGUUGGUGGGGUAAAGGCCCACCAAGCCGACGAUCUGUAGCUGGUCUGAGAGGACGACCAGCCACACUGGAACUGAGACACGGUCCAGACUCCUACGGGAGGCAGCAGUGGGGAAUUUUGGACAAUGGGCGAAAGCCUGAUCCAGCCAUACCGCGUGUGGGAAGAAGGCCUUCGGGUUGUAAACCACUUUUGUCAGGGAAGAAAUACUCUGGGCUAAUACCCUGGGGUGAUGACGGUACCUGAAGAAUAAGCACCGGCUAACUACGUGCCAGCCGCCGCAGUAAGAC